rnacentral:rRNA from 1 species
UACGUAGGGUGCAAGCGUUGUCCGGAAUUAUUGGGCGUAAAGGGCGCGUAGGCGGCUUGACAAGUCCCGGGUGAAAUCCCUCGGCUCAACCGAGGAACUGCCUUGGAAACUGUCUGGCUUGAGGCCGGGAGAGGGUAGUGGAAUUCCCAGUGUAGCGGUGAAAUGCGUAGAUACUGGGAGGAACACCGGUGGCGAAGGCGGCUACCUGGACCGGUUCUGACGCUGAGGCGCGAAAGCGUGGGUAGCAAACAGG